rnacentral:tRNA from 1 species
GGAAAUGUAGUUUAGUGGUAGAGUAUUUGCCUAGCAAGCAUGAGGCCCUGGUUUUAAUUCCCAGUGCUUCAA